GAUGAACGCUAGCGGGAGGCCUAACACAUGCAAGCCGAGCGGUAUUGUUUCUUCGGAAAUGAGAGAGCGGCGUACGGGUGCGGAACACGUGUGCAACCUGCCUUUAUCUGGGGGAUAGCCUUUCGAAAGGAAGAUUAAUACUCCAUAAUAUAUUGAACGGCAUCGUUUAAUAUUGAAAGCUCCGGCGGAUAGAGAUGGGCACGCGCAAGAUUAGCUAGUUGGUGAGGUAACGGUUCACCAAGGCGAUGACCUUUAGGGGGCCUGAGAGGGUGAUCCCCCACACGGGUACUGCGACACGGACCAGACUCCUACGGGAGGCAGCAGUGAGGAAUAUUGGUCAAUGGGUGCAAGCCUGAACCAGCCAUCCCGCGUGAAGGACGACUGCCCUAUGGGUUGUAAACUUCUUUUGUAUAGGGAUAAACCUACCCUCGUGAGGGUAGCUGAAGGUACUAUACGAAUAAGCACCGGCUAACUCCGUGCCAGCAGCCGCGGUAAGAC
rnacentral:rRNA from 1 species